rnacentral:rRNA from 1 species
GACGAACGCUGGCGGCGUGCUUAACACAUGCAAGUCGAACGGAAAGGCCCUGCUUUUGUGGCGUGCUCGAGUGGCGAACGGGUGAGUAACACGUGAGUAACCUGCCCUUGACUUUGGGAUAACUUCAGGAAACUGGGGCUAAUACCGGAUAGGAGCUCCUGCUGCACGGUGGGGGUUGGAAAGUUUCGGCGGUUGGGGAUGGACUCGCGGCUUAUCAGCUUGUUGGUGAGGUAGUGGCUUACCAAGGCUUUGACGGGUAGCCGGCCUGAGAGGGUGACCGGCCACAUUGGGACUGAGAUACGGCCCAGACUCCUACGGGAGGCAGCAGUGGGGAAUAUUGCACAAUGGGCGGAAGCCUGAUGCAGCAACGCCGCGUGCGGGAUGACGGCCUUCGGGUUGUAAACCGCUUUCGCCUGUGACGAAGCGUGAUUGACGGUAAUGGGUAAAGAAGCACCGGCUAACUACGUG